AAAAUUUGUUAUUAAUUUGAUUUAUAUGUAAAUUUUUGUAUGAAUUUAUAUUUAUUUUAAAAAUAAAUAUAAUUUAUUUAUUCGCAGUAAUUAAUAUUAUUAAUUAAAGAAAUUUAGAAAUAGCAAUAUUAAAAAGUAUUGGCAAAAUUGGUGCCAGCAGUCGCGGUUAUACCAAUAAUACAAAUAAAUUUUUUUAGUAAAAGUUAAAUGAAUUAAUAUGAUUAAAUAAAAUUAAAUUUAUUAAGUGAAAUUUUAAAUUUAAAUUAUUUAUUUGUAAAUAAAUUGAAACUAAAAAAUUUUAAUUAA
rnacentral:rRNA from 1 species